UCCAAGCACAGCUCUGGGCUCCUUUGCAGACUGCCUCUGCUGUGGGGUUUUCUCCAGGAGAAGCCAAGGAAUUGCUCAUGGAAGGGUGGAGAUUAAGUUAUCCCAAAGGGAAGCAAAGAUGACUUUUGCAAGCAAACUCUGAAGCUGACAAGCCCAGAAGCUCCAUCCAUCCACUCUGGAAGGAAAGGAUACUCCCAGGGAUGAGGCACAUUCCCAGCAAACUCUCCCAACACAGCCUGGAGGCAGCGCUGGAGCUCGGCUGUGGGGCUGGGAAGGGCUGCCAGGAGCACGCAGCCCCAGGUGGGGUGGCAGCGGCAGCAGCAAAUUCCCACAGGCUGAUGGCACAACAGAGAGACAAAGGCCAGCAGUGCCCAUGGGAGGUGCAGGGUUAAUUCUGCUCCCUGCCCUGCCCCAUCCCCACAGGAAAUCUCCAAGGGGGAGAGAAACUCUCAGGGUGCCCAAAAUGCAGCAUCUGUCACCCUGAUCCCGCUUCAACUCAGCGUGGGGGGCCAAACUCCCCCCACAGGUAAACACUGAGCUGACCUGGUCAGUCUCAAACACAGCCCCAGUUCUCAGCUCCAGCCUGCUCCUGGGGCUGCUGCCACAUUCCUGACAAGGAGCCCCUGUGGACAGGGCUCUCUCUGUGUCUCAGGUGCUGGGCACUGCAGGGACCAGGGCAGCCCCCUCUGGGGACAAUUGGGGAUUCAUCCCACACCACAGGCAGGACCAGGGGCCCUCCAGUACAGGCUGGUGGGGCCAGAGCCCAUUGGGUUUGGCUGCUCAAAUACCAAAGCUUUUGGCAAAGAUGGGACAAGUUAAGUGGGUUUUCCUGUCCUGAGAGAGAGAAGAAAUUGUUGAAAUUAAGCAUGGAAAUUAAGUCCACUGUGGAAGUCAAAGGCUCCUGGCUUUCCCACUCCUGUUCUGAUUGCUCACUAGAGGGUUUUAUCCAUAAAAAAAUGAGAGGUGGCACCAAAUAAAAGAGCUCUUUUUCAA